rnacentral:rRNA from 1 species
CCGCCACGGGAAUACCGAGGGUGCAAGCGUUAAUCGGAAUUACUGGGCGUAAAGCGCGCGUAGGUGGUUUGUUAAGUUGGAUGUGAAAUCCCCGGGCUCAACCUGGGAACUGCAUCCAAAACUGGCAAGCUAGAGUAUGGUAGAGGGUGGUGGAAUUUCCUGUGUAGCGGUGAAAUGCGUAGAUAUAGGAAGGAACACCAGUGGCGAAGGCGACCACCUGGACUGAUACUGACACUGAGGUGCGAAAGCGUGGGGAGCAAACAGGAUUAGAUACCCCGGUAGUCCCUGUCUCUUAUACACA